rnacentral:rRNA from 1 species
UACGUAGGGUGCGAGCGUUGUCCGGAAUUACUGGGCGUAAAGAGCUCGUAGGUGGUUUGUCGCGUUGUUCGUGAAAACCGGGGGCUUAACCCUCGGCGUGCGGGCGAUACGGGCAGACUUGAGUACUGCAGGGGAGACUGGAAUUCCUGGUGUAGCGGUGGAAUGCGCAGAUAUCAGGAGGAACACCGGUGGCGAAGGCGGGUCUCUGGGCAGUAACUGACGCUGAGGAGCGAAAACGUGGGGAGCGAACAGG